UCUGGUAUUCAUCAGACAGGAGCAACAGCUCAGCCACUUUCAACUCCACUGAGAGGGUCCUGCAGAGCCUGCUGGAUCCUUGUUGAAGAAGAGCAGCCUGGGCCCCUUCUCCUUGAGUGGCAGACUGGUCUCCCUCAGGUCUGAGAAGGAUGGGGCAGCCACCAGUGUGGACGCUGUCUUCACCCACCACCCUGACCCCGUGGUCCACCAUGCCUCUGUGCUGGGAGCUGAGAGUCUCCACCUGUCUGCUCUUCCUCUCAGUGGCUCCAGGCUCUGCACCCUGGAGU